UACGGAGGGUGCAAGCGUUGUUCGGAAUUAUUGGGCGUAAAGCGCGCGCAGGCGGCCUGGACAGUCCAGGGGUGAAAUGCCGGGGCUCAACCCCGCUGCAUGCCCAGGAUACUACCAGGCUGGAGACACGUAGAGGCAAGCGGAAUUCCGGGUGUAGCGGUGGAAUGCGUAGAGAUCCGGAAGAACACCGGAGGCGAAGGCGGCUCACUGGACUGGUACUGACGCUGAGGUGCGAAAGCGUGGGGAGCAAACAGG
rnacentral:rRNA from 1 species